GAUGAAGAACGUAGUGAAAUGCGAUAAGUAAUGUGAAUUGCAGAAUUCAGUGAAUCAUCGAAUCUUUGAACGCACAUUGCGCCCGCCAGCAUUCUGGCGGGCAUGCCUGUUCGAGCGUCAUUUCAACCCUCGAGCCCCCCCGGAGGCCUCGGUGUUGGGGGACGGCACACCAGCCGCCCCCGAAAUGCAGUGGCGACCCCGCCGCAGCCUCCCCUGCGUAGUAGCACACACCUCGCACCGGAGCGCGGAGGCGGUCACGCCGUAAAACGCCCAACUUUCUUAGAGUUGACCUCGGAUCAGGUAGGAAUACCCGCCGAACUUAAGCAUAUCAAUAAGCGGAA
rnacentral:misc_RNA from 1 species